GGAUAUAUGGUGAGACGGUUUGG
rnacentral:siRNA from 1 species